GUGACCAUGUUCAACGGCCGCGGUAUCCUAACCGUGCGAAGGUAGCGUAAUCACUUGUUCUUUAAAUAAGGACUAGUAUGAAUGGCACCACGAAGGUUACACUGUCUCCUCUCUCUAAUCAGUGAAACUAAUCUUCCCGUGAAGAAGCGGGAAUCCUUACAUAAGACGAGAAGACCCUAUGGAGCUUUAAACGAAAUAACAAUUACCAUUACAUAUAAUAAUUCCAGAAGACUUACCCCCCACCCCGGUACCAUGUCUAUUAGUUUUAGGUUGGGGUGACCGCGGAGCAAAAACCAACCUCCACAUUGAACAGAAGCUUAUUCUAAACAAAAAGCCACAACUUUAUGUAUCAGCAUACUGACAUUAAUUGACCCAACAAUUUGACCAACGAACCAAGUUACCCUAGGGAUAACAGCGCAAUCCAUUUCAAGAGCCCCUAUCGACAAAUGGGUUUACGACCUCGAUGUUGGAUCAGGGUAACCAAGUGGUGCAGCCGCUACUAAAGGUUCGUUUGUUCAACGAUUAAAA
rnacentral:rRNA from 1 species